CCAAUAGCGUAUAUUAAAGUUGUUGCAGUUAAAAAGCUCGUAGUUGAAUUUCGGGGUUAGUAAGUUGGUCGUGCCACUGGUAUGUACUGGCUUUACUGAUUCCUCCUUCUUGUAGAACCGUAAUGCCAUUAAGUUGGUGUUGCGGGGAAACAGGACUGUUACUUUGAAAAAAUUAGUGUUUAAAGCAAGCUAACGCUUGAAUACAUUAGCAUGGAAUAAUGAAAUAGGACGUUCGAUCCUAUUUUGUUGGUUUCUAGGAUUGACGUAAUGAUUAAUAGGGAUAGUUGGGGGCAUUAGUAUUCAAUUGUCAGAGGAGAAAUUCUUGGAUUUAUUGAAGACUAACUACUGCGAAAGCUUUUGCCAAGGAUGUUUUCAUUAAUCAAGAACGAAAGUUAGGGGAUCGAAGACGAUCAGAUACCGUCGUAGUCUUAACCAUAAACUAUGCCGACUAGGGAUCGGAUGAUGUUAAUUUUAUAAUGACUCAUUCGGCGCCUUACG
rnacentral:misc_RNA from 1 species